UACGUAGGGUGCGAGCGUUGUCCGGAAUUAUUGGGCGUAAAGAGCUCGUAGGCGGUUUGUCGCGUCGACUGUGAAAACCCGAGGCUUAACCUCGGGCCUGCAGUCGAUACGGGCAGACUAGAGUUCGGUAGGGGAGACUGGAAUUCCUGGUGUAGCGGUGAAAUGCGCAGAUAUCAGGAGGAACACCGGUGGCGAAGGCGGUUCUCUGGGCAUGAUCUGACGCUGAGGAGCGAAAGUGUGGGGAGCGAACAGG
rnacentral:rRNA from 1 species